GCUUCUAUACGGCGAAACUGCGAAUGGCUCAUUAAAACAGUUAUAGUUUAUUUGGUGGUCAGCAAUUACAUGGAUAACCGUGGUAAUUCUAGAGCUAAUACAUGCGUCCAAACCCGACUUCGUGGAAGGGUUGUGUUUAUUAGAUACAGAACCAACCCAGGCUCCGCCUGGCCUUGAGGUGAUUCAUAAUAACCGAACGAAUCGCAUGGCUAUGCCGGCGAUAGACCAUUCAAGUUUCUGACCUAUCAGCUAUCGUCGGUAGGGUAUUGGCCUACCGUGGCUAUGACGGGUAACGGAGAAUUAGGGUUCGAUUCCGGAGAGGGAGCCUGAGAAACGGCUACCACAUCUAAGGAAGGCAGCAGGCGCGCAAAUUACCCAAUCCUGACGCAGGGAGGUAGUGACAAGAAAUAACAAUACAGGGCAUACAUGUCUUGUAAUUGGAAUGAGUAAACUUUAAAUCACUUUACGAGUAUCAAUUGGAGGGCAAGUCUGG
rnacentral:rRNA from 1 species